rnacentral:rRNA from 1 species
GCAGUAGCCGCGGUAAUACGAAGGGGGCUAGCGUUGUUCGGAAUUACUGGGCGUAAAGCGCACGUAGGCGGACUUUUAAGUCAGGGGUGAAAUCCCGGGGCUCAACCUCGGAACUGCCUUUGAUACUGGAGAUCUCGAGUUCGGGAGAGGUGAGUGGAACUGCGAGUGUAGAGGUGAAAUUCGUAGAUAUUCGCAAGAACACCAGUGGCGAAGGCGGCUCACUGGCUCGAUACUGACGCUGAGGCACGAAAGCGUGGGGAGCAAACAGGAUUAGAUACCCCCGUAGUCCCUGUCUCUUAUAC